UACGUAGGGUGCAAGCGUUGUCCGGAAUUAUUGGGCGUAAAGAGCUCGUAGGCGGUCUGUCGCGUCGGCUGUGAAAUCCCGAGGCUCAACCCUGGACCUGCAUUCGAUACGGGCAGACUAGAGUUCGGCAGGGGAGACUGGAAUUCCUGGUGUAGCGGUGAAAUGCGCAGAUAUCAGGAGGAACACCGGUGGCGAAGGCGGGUCUCUGGGCCGAUACUGACGCUGAGGAGCGAAAGCGUGGGGAGCAAACAGG
rnacentral:rRNA from 1 species